GGUAUGGGAUGAGCUUGCGUCCGAUUAGCUAGUUGGCGGGGCAACGGCCCACCAGGGCGACGAUCGGUAGCCGGCCUGAGAGGGUGAUCGGCCACAUUGGGACUGAGAUACGGCCCAGACUCCUACGGGAGGCAGCAGUAGGGAAUAUUGCACAAUGGGGGAAACCCUGAUGCAGCAACGCCACGUGUGGGAAGAAGCAUUUCGGUGUGUAAACCACUGUCAUGAGGGAAUAAGGCCCUUAUUCGUAAGGGAUUGAAUGUACCUUGAGAGGAAGCACCGGCAAACUUCGUGCCAGCAGCCGCGGUAAUACGAGGGGUGCAAGCGUUGUUCGGAAUUACUGGGCGUAAAGGGAGCGUAGGCGGAGAUUCAAGCGGAUUGUACAAUCCCGGGGCCCAACCCCGGCUCUGCAGCCCGAACUGGAUCUCUUGGAUAGUUCAGGGGCAGGC
rnacentral:rRNA from 1 species